UGGGGAAUAUUGGACAAUGGGCGGAAGCCUGAUCCAGCAACGCCGCGUGAGGGAUGACGGCCUUCGGGUUGUAAACCUCUUUCAGCUCCGACGAAGCUGCUCUUGCCUUUGGGUGGGGGUGGUGACGGUAGGGGCAGAAGAAGGACCGGCCAACUACGUGCCAGCAGCCGCGGUAAUACGUAGGGUCCGAGCGUUGUCCGGAAUUAUUGGGCGUAAAGGGCUCGUAGGCGGUUUGUCGCGUCGGGAGUGAAAACACCGGGCUUAACUCGGUGCUUGCUUUCGAUACGGGCAGACUGGAGGCAUGCAGGGGAGAACGGAAUUCCUGGUGUAGCGGUGAAAUGCGCAGAUAUCAGGAGGAACACCGGUGGCGAAGGCGGUUCUCUGGGCAUGUCCUGACGCUGAGGAGCGAAAGUGUGGGGAGCGAACAGG
rnacentral:rRNA from 1 species